rnacentral:rRNA from 1 species
AUAUGGGAUCUUGACAGUAGCAUAUGUUUUUCUCAAAGAUUAAGCCAUGCAUGUCUAAGUACACAUGUCCAGUACAGUGAAAGUGUGAAUGGCUCAUUAAAUCCAUUAUGGUUCCUUUGGUUGCUUGCUCCCUCCUACUUGGAUAACUGUGGUAAUUUUAGAGUUAAUACAUGCCGAUGAGUGCUGACCUGGGUCCCCUUCCCCCAUGGAUGGGGGCCCCCAGGGAUGCAUGCAUGCAUUCAUCAGACCAAAACCAACCCAGCAGCUUCCCCUCAACCCCACAACUUGGACCAAUUGCACACCACCCAUGGAGGUGAUGACCCAUUUGAACAUCUGCCCUAUCAACUUUAAAUGGUAGUUGCCAUACCUACCAUGGUGACCAUGGGUAAUGGGGAAUCAGGGUUUGAUUCCAGAGAGAGAGCCUGAGAAACUGCUUCCACAUCCAAGGAAGGCAGUCAGCAUGCAAAUUAUCCACUCCUGACCCAUGGAGUUAGUGACAAAAAAUAACAAUAUAGGACUGUUUUGAAGCCCUGUAAUUGGAAAGAGUACACUUCAAAUAAUUUAAUGAAGAUCCAUUGAAGGGCAAAUCUUGUGCCAGCAGUCACAGUUAUUCCAGCUCUAAUAGCAUAUAUUAAAGUUGCUGCAGUUAAAAAGCUUGUAGCUAUAUCUUGGAAUCAAGCUGGUGGUCUGCCACAAGGUGAGCCACUGCCUGUCCUAGCCCCUGCCUCUUGGCACCCCCUUGAUGCUCUUAGCUAGGUGUCCCACAAGGCCUGAAGCAUUUACUUUAAAAAAAAUUAGAGUGUUCAAAGCAGGCCUGAGUCACCUGGAUAUCCCAGCUAGGAAUAAUGGGAUUGAACCCCAGUUCUAUUUUGUUGGUUUUUAGAACUGGGGCCAGAAUUAAGAGGGAUGGCCAGGGGCACUCAUAUUGUGCCACUAGAAGUGAAAUUCUUGGCCUGGAGCAAGAUGGACCAGAGAGAAAGCAUUUGCCAAGAAUGUUUUCAUUAAUCAAGAACGAAAGUCGGAGGUUCGAAGAUGAUCAGAUACCAUCAUAGUUCCGACUAUAAAUGAUGCUGACUAGUGAUCCAGCAGCAUUAUUCCCAUGACCCACUGAGCAGCUUCCUGGAAACCAAAGUCUUUAGGUUCUGGUGGGAGUAUGGUUGCAAAGCUGAAACUUAAAGCAAUUGACUAUAGGGCACCACCAAGAGUGGAGCCUGGCAAGCCAGCUAGGAGUUGGAUUAAUUUAUUGAUCUUCUGUUAUUUCCAAUAUUAGGAAAGGGAUAGGAGUGUAACCAUGGUGCUUGAUAUCAUGGUACAGUUAGUGAAAGAAGAGAUGCCUCUUUACCUAAAAAAAAAAAACAACCUCUCAAUACCUGGGACCUUCACUGAGAUAUAAAAUCUGAGUGUUUUGAAUUGUCUCUGGUUCGUACCACUUAUGGGAGUAUUUGUGCUGUCUGCAUUGUUUCAAGGGUAUCAUUUGUAUCAAGUAUUUAGUUUAAUUCUUACUAAGAAAAGGAGACAACUGAAAGAGAGAUUAAUGGAAACUAGAGUUGCAUAUCUUGAGGAUUGCAUUUUGCAAUUGACUAAAACUAUUGGCCAACAAAAUGAAGCUAUCUCUAAAAUUGCUCAGCUUGAAGAUAGUAUCUCUCAAAUGGCAAAAACUAUAAUGCAACAAAAUGAAACUCUCACAUUACUCAAACUAACUCUCCUACUGUUUCUAAUUCUCCCACCAUGGUUGCUAAAAAUGAAACCCAAAUGAAAGAAGAUACAAA